CUGGUAGAGUAUGAAUUAUAGUACAGUGUUAAUUUUUCAAAUGAUAUCUAUUUGGAAAGAUAUACAUUAAUAGUAGUAUGAUAAUUAACAUUUAUCAACAACUUAAGUACUUAAAAACAAACAUGUAUAUACAUUUCUAUAUAUGUGUGUGUGUAUAUCUCAUAAUCACAGAAAAUUUUUAGGAGGAUAACAUAAACAAUGAGAAGUAUUUAGACCAUCAUGCAUCAUGCCACGGAUCUUUUUCCAACCUUAAUGAGAAUACUAAGUGCUACAAAAUAAUAAGCUAUUAUGUAAGAAUCAAAACACCCCAAGGAGAGAAUGAAAAUAAAUCCAGUAUGAGGAUAACAUGCCUUCUUUACCCAACACCGAAAAAGGAAACCAAAUGGAUACUAAAACUCCUGUCUGU
rnacentral:lncRNA from 1 species